rnacentral:rRNA from 1 species
UACGUAGGGUGCAAGCGUUAUUCGGAAUUACUGGGCGUAAAGCGUGCGCAGGCGGUUGUGUAAGUCAGAUGUGAAAUCCCCGGGCUCAACCUGGGAAUUGCAUUUGUGACUGCACGGCUAGAGUGUGUCAGAGGGGGGUAGAAUUCCACGUGUAGCAGUGAAAUGCGUAGAGAUGUGGAGGAAUACCGAUGGCGAAGGCAGCCCCCUGGGAUAACACUGACGCUCAUGCACGAAAGCGUGGGGAGCAAACAGG